rnacentral:lncRNA from 1 species
AAUGGGUGGACCAAAAAAAUAAAGGUACCCACUUGUUUUUCGAAUGGCAUAGUAUAGUAAAAUUGUAAUUCCUGCCCUAUUCGGCACAUUUUUGUUGCAUAUGUAGAAGUUAUUUUUUGCAUUUCUGCAUAAAAGAUUUUGCUCUGAAAUUCCUAUUUGCAUGUCAUAUUAUGUAUUCCCAGACAUUUUGUCUUCAUUGCUACUGUGGAUGUAGCUACCGUUGCGUUAUCUGGUAAUGAGAGAAACAUGGUAUUGAAUCAUGUGAGAAUCUGUAAAUUAUACUUCAUGUAGACUUUCCAACUACAUACAUAUGUAUCUUCCUUUGAAUCUACAUUUUGAUUUCUCUCCUAGCUAAUGAUAAACCUUAAUGGAUUGUGAGUUAAAUUUUUUGGUAUUGAUUUGUAAAGCUGCAUGGAGCUUUUUUGCUAACUGGAAACAAUACAUAGCCAUCGCUACGCAAUAGGUCCAAUGUGUCCACUAGAACUUGCGCAAUGUGAACACUUUUACUAGAGUCACAGGCUUACUACAUUGAAUUGUAAUUAGUGAAUUUGUUUUUUGUGCUGUGUUUGGAUUGUACAUAAUUUUUGUGUUUCCAACUCACUUACAAUGGUGUUAUUGUUUAACCGUUAUUGUAGGAAAACAAGGACUUCAAGGAUUUUAAAGACAAAAAUGUAAGUAAGAUUUACAUUCACUACCAUCAACUAUUCGGUGACAGUUAUGACGGUGACAAGUAAGCAUUCACCCUGAGAAAGUUAUGCAGAAUGGGCUUCCAUUUGUUUGAGAAUAGUGUGGUUGAAGACUAUAGGGAUGCAAUCCUUGUCAAUGGCAAGAGUAGCGAUUCGAGUGAUGAGAUAGCUGAUGAAAAUGGUAAAUCAAAAAUGAACAUUUCCAACGCUAGAAGCGACGAAAAUAGGAAGUUAUCCACGAAGAAGCAAAAGGGAAAGAAAAAGAAAAUUUCUGCGCUGGAGUUGUUGUUCUCUAUUGAUUAGGCAAAUAGUGCCGUCAAGAAAGUAGCAGCAAAGAUCAAUACCAUAAAUUUGAAUGGAUUGAGUGACAGUUUAAUAAGCGUAACAAAUCACUCCAUUAGUGAGAUUACAAAAUUUGAGUAUUUAUGUUUUUUUUUUUUUUGGGAACAUUUACUUUUUCUUUUAAUUUUCCCGUUG